GCCCUGUUUUUCUGUAAUAGCCCUGUAUUAAUGCCCAGUUUGUCUGUGUUAAGCCAUGCAGUUAGGGUUUUUAAUCAAGUUAAUAAAAUUAAGUUGUAAAGAGUAUGAUACCUUUUUGUAUAUUGUUUAAUUUAGUAACCAGCAACAAACAUUAAAGAGUUAUAAAGAACCAUAUAAAGGGAUCACUCUUUAUCCUGUUUUUCAACACAAAACUUC
rnacentral:lncRNA from 1 species